AGCCACAUCACACUGAAAAAAUGGUUCCCAUAUGAUCACCAAAGUAAAGCAAUGUUGAGUCUUUUCAGUACUUAGAUGGGUGACCACUUGUGAAUACCAGCUGCUGUAUG